rnacentral:RNase_P_RNA from 2 species
CCAGUUGGCCGGGCAGCCGCGCUUCACAAGGGCCGAAAGGCUGUGAGGUGAGGAAAGUCCGGGCUCCACGGAAAGACGGUGCCGGAUAACGUCCGGCGGGGGCGACCCCAGGGACAGUGCCACAGAAAGCAAACCGCCUGCACGGCGCCUCGCGCGUCAUGGCGGGUAAGGGUGAAAGGGUGGGGUAAGAGCCCACCGCGGCCCUGGCAACAGGGACGGCACGGUAAACCCCACCGGGAGCAAGACCGAAUAGGGAUGACGUGAUGGCGCCUUCGGGCGCCUUCAGCCUUUUCCGGGCCAGUCAUCCGGGUGGGUUGCGUGAGGCGGCGCGUAAGCGUCGUCCCAGAUGAAUGGCUGCCACGUUCCGGCUCUCAAAAGGCCGGAGCCUUACAGAACCCGGCUUAUAGGCCAACUGGCUUU